UACGAAGGGGGCUAGCGUUGUUCGGAAUCACUGGGCGUAAAGCGCACGUAGGCGGAUUGUUAAGUCAGGGGUGAAAUCCCGAGGCUCAACCUCGGAACUGCCUUUGAUACUGGCGAUCUAGAGUCCGGGAGAGGUGAGUGGAACUGCGAGUGUAGAGGUGAAAUUCGUAGAUAUUCGCAAGAACACCAGUGGCGAAGGCGGCUCACGGGCCCGGAACUGACGCUGAGGUGCGAAAGCGUGGGGAGCAAACAGG
rnacentral:rRNA from 1 species